ensembl:lncRNA
GUUACAGUUGCUCAAAGACAGUAACAGUAACAGACUAAACUACUUAAAUAAUACAAUAUGUUACAGAGUUAACAAAUUUAAGAAAUAGCACUAAUAUAUACAAAUCGCUCAUUUAUACAUAUCAAGAAUAUUACAGAGGUGAAAUAUAUAUGAUUGACAUUUACCUCUAACCUGUGAACUUUGUCAUUUGCUAUUUUACUGUACAAAGGUACUGUGCAAAGGGUGUAACUAUUGCAGAGUGUACUGUGCAGUAGAUGGAGGAGUUGUACAGGGAGAUGGCCACGGGCAGGAAUGAUUUCCUCUGUCGUUCAGUAGUGCUUUUUGGUCAUCUCAGUCUCUCACUGAACGUGCUCCUGUGACUAGCCAGCACGUCAUGGUAUUAUCCAGCAUUGAAUUUAUCUUGGACAACAUCUGCCUCCCAGACACUAUCCUAAGAGAAUCCAGCUCCAUCCCCACAACAUUACUGGCCUUGCGGAUAAGUUAAUUUAGUCUGUUGGUAUCUGCAAUCCUCAACCUGCUGCCCCAGCAUGCAGCAGUAUAGAGGAUGUCACUGGCCACAACAGACUCAUAGAAAAUCCUGAGCAUUGUCAAACAGAUGUUGAAGGCCCUCAGCCGCAUCAGAAAAUAGAGUGGACUCUGGCCCUAGCUGUAGAGUGCAGUGGUGUUUUUAACCCAGUCCAGUUUAUUGUCUAUGUGUACUCCAAGGUAUUUAUAGUCCUCCACAAUGUCCACAUUGACCCCCCGGAUUGAAACAAGGGUCAAGGUUUUCCUUCAGUCUCCCCCCUCAUUUUUCAUCAGACUGGAUUCCCUCAUAUAUAUUUGAUGGGACUUUCUCUGUUAAAUCAUUGCAUUUGUUCCAAGACUCUUGUGUCCAUCCUAGUUCAGUGUCAGGCCUGGAUAAGUGACUGGUUUUACUCCAUGUUUAUAUUCUGUUUUUCUAAACAUAUGCAUUGAUAAUAAAUAAUAAACUAGGAAAAUAAAUAGCAUGUCAGGUAUUCUGUGUCCUUUCCCAGUUUGUUAUACUUUUAUACAGUCUGCUGCUGAGCUGCCCGGGGAUGCUGCACUCACUUGGAAAUAAGAGUUUACAUGUACCAUUAUCCCAUUAACAUGAAGAGGAGAAAAAUGUUUGGCUGAAUUAAGAAAGAAGAAAAAAAUAGAAACAAUAAUCUUAGCUAUGGAUUAAAAACCAACAACAAAUGCAUAUAUAUCAUAUUCAAGCACCACAUUUUCAUUUUUUUCUUACAAACAAAAGCCACAUGAAAAUUAUACCAGAACCCUAAAUACUAAACUGAGAGUAUAACCAAGCAAUCUGUUACAAGAGAAAUGACGUAAAGCUCAAAACACCAUACAAAGGAGAUGCAACUCAACUAAGGAUAAGGUAAUCUGAAGCAGUAACAAGAAAGAGCCACAAAGGAAUACAUGAUAGAGAAAACCUAAACAGCAGACAAACUAAGAAUUAAACUAAACAAAAUAAUAAUAAAUAGAACUAAAAAGGCCAAAAAACACAAAAUGCUGGGUUAAAGAGCAAGGACCGUGACAUCAGCAGCAAAUGCAGAUCUUCUGUUUGCUGUUGAUGUGUGCGCCCUUCACAUUUUAACUUUAGACACUGAACCUAAAUUUAAUGCAUUUGUUCAAAGCCAAAAUAGACUAGAUUUCUCUCACUGAACAAGAAAAGCUGAAAAGCUGCACAUGAAGUAAUUAAACUCAGAAUAGCAAGAGCACCUUGUAUAAAAUUCAAAGUGUUUCAAAUUUUGCAAAAACAUACACAUUUUGUUCAGUUGUUUUGGGUAAUGCUGAUAAAAUGUUAUAGUUUUUACUAUGCUUGUUUCACAUUUCCAUUUUCUAAACAUGUACUCUUACUUUUUUUCUCAUAAAGAGAAAAAAAAUCACUACUGAGCAAAACUGAAUUCAGUUUAUUGGUCCAGUCCCAGUUUCUCUCUCAUGUGACCCUUUGGGAAAAUUAAUUGGCAACCCG